rnacentral:rRNA from 1 species
AUUGAACGCUGGCGGCAGGCCUAACACAUGCAAGUCGAACGAGUGGCGGACGGGUGAGUAAUGUCUGGGAAACUGCCUGAUGGAGGGGGAUAACUACUGGAAACGGUAGCUAAUACCGCAUACCAUCGGAUGUGCCCAGAUGGGAUUAGCUUGUUGGUGGGGUAACGGCUCACCAAGGCGACGAUCCCUAGCUGGUCUGAGCGGAUGACCAUCCACACUGGAACUGGUCCACGGUCCAGUCUCCUACGGGAUGCAGCAGGGGGGAAUAUUUCACAAUGGGCGGAAGCCUGAUGCAGCCAUGCCGCGUGUUGGUAGAAGGCCUUCGGGUUUUAAAGUCCUUUCAGCGGGGAGGCGUUACCCGCAGAAGAAGCACCGGCUAACUCCGUGCCAGCCGCCGCGGUAAUUC